AGAAGCACCGGCUAAUUCCGUGCCAGCAGCCGCGGUAAUACGGAAGGUGCGAGCGUUAAUCGGAAUAACUGGGCGUAAAGCGCGCGUAGGUGGUUGAGUCAGUCAGAUGUGAAAGCCCCGGGCUUAACCUGGGAACUGCACCUGAUACUGCUUGACUAGAGUACGGUAGAGGGCAGUGGAAUUUCCUGUGUAGCGGUGAAAUGCGUAGAUAUAGGAAGGAACACCAGUGGCGAAGGCGACUGCCUGGACUGAUACUGACACUGAGGUGCGAAAGCGUGGGUAGCAAACAGGAUUAGAUACCCUGGUAGUCCACGCCGUAAACGAUGUCGACUAGCCGUUGGGAAACUUGU
rnacentral:rRNA from 1 species